GGAGACACUGUGGAGCCAGGAACAAUGGUUGCUAUCAUUUCGAAGUCUGGGGAAGGGGUAUCUCAUGUUGCUCCAUCUGAAAAAUUACCAGAGACUGCUGCGCCUAAGCCAUCUGAAAAGAAAGAGGAGGUAAAACAAACAUCAAAACCUGAGGCUUCUCCUGUUACAGAGAAGCCCAAGAAAUCAACAUCAGCUGCAUCACCUCCGAGACAAGCUGCUACAGAGCCUCAACUUCCUCCCAAGGAUAGAGAAAGACGAGUAAGUUCUUUACUGUUGGUCUUCUUUUAUCAAUUUUUUUGUUGACGGAAUCUGAAAUGGCAUAUUAUAUGUGCUCCGGCCUAGCUAAACCCGAGUCUUCUCCUAGUACAGAGAAGCCUAAGAAAUCAACAUCAGCUGCAUCACCACCUAGACAGGCUGCUACAGAGCCUCAGCUUCCUCCCAAGGAUAGAGAAAGACGAGUAAGUUCUUUACUGUUGGUCUUCUUUUAUCAAUUUUUUUGUUGACGGAAUCUGAAAUGGCAUAUUAUAUGUGCUCCGGCCUGAUUCUUUUUUUUCUCACGUUUUGGCAGGU
rnacentral:lncRNA from 1 species